rnacentral:lncRNA from 1 species
AUGUAAUUGUGGAACAAGUAGGCGAGGAGACAGGAUGAGAAGUUAUAUAUCUCCGAAUUUAGUUAAAUCGGGUUUACGUAACUUGGUGUAUAACUGUAUUUAAAUUGGCUCACGAUAAUAUAAUGCACAGUUUUCUCUAUAUGCAGACUAAGUAUAUUAACAAUCGUAUGAACUCUCGUAUUAUGGUGACAUUAUAUGUUGGUACAUAUUUAUGAUGUCACUUAUUUUCAUAGCAUAAUGACGUCAUACACAUGUCAUUUUGAUGCUUUCUUCGUGACGGCAGCAUUGUAAUUUCACAAUGUCGUUAUGUCGAUGCCUGGUUGAUGUGAUCUUUAGAUUCUCUGACCGAUUUCAAAAUUAUUACUUUAACGAUGAUCUUAGAAAUCCGAUGAUGCCAUCUUUGGGACCACAUAGCCGUCUGAGAUUUACCAUCCUUAAUAGUGGUCGGUCAGAUAGUCUUGUAGUCAAGUAUUGUGUUAGCUUACUAUCUGGAAUAUCAUCUAGAUAGAAAGACGGGCAUAAAACGAUAGAGAAAAGAAAGAUUGAUAUGCAGUUUGAUUCACGCAUUUCUUUGUGGAAUAAGGGCUGUUAACUAUAACUACACGCAACUAUUUUGUUAUAUAUUCUAUGUUUAUCUUUUUUUCUUCAAUACUGUAC